rnacentral:sRNA from 1 species
GGCAGGAGUCGUGGCAUACACCUGUAAUCCCAGCAACUCUGGAGGCUGAAGCAGGAGGAUCACAAGUGCGAGGCCAACCUCAGCAACUUAGAAAGGCCCUCUGCAACUUAGUGAGACCCUGUUUCAA